CUGAUGCCAACAGGCUGAGGCCGGAGCUGAUCCUCAGUCCUGCAGUCUGAGCUGUGCAGCUGGUCUGACGAGUUGUGGAUUAUUAGGGGUGAAAGAAGUUUGCAGAGACAUCUCAGGAUGGACACAAUAUCUUCAUCAUCUUUGCAGGACUACAAAUGCUUUCUCGGUGGAUUAUGGACGUUCAUUUUGGAUUUAAUGGCCUGAAAGGAAUCACCAGCCCUUUAGGAAUGUCUGACAACAUCAAGGAAUCUCCAUCGACUGAGAGGGGGGCCAGCGGCUCCACGGGGACCCAUGGGACCCUGAAGAGAAAGACACACCCAAGGCUGAGUGAUGAAAAAAGGCACUAAAUGUGAUGAAGAUGCAUUUAACUUCCUUCUGAGACUGACCAUGUGACCAACCAGGAACAGACAGGUGGUGGUCAUGUGAAAUCAGGAUACAGGAAGUGUCAAACUGAAGAAGAAGAAGAAGAAGAAGAAGAAGACAGAGUGGAGACAUCAGGGGCAGAAUACCGUCGUCGGGGCAGAUGGGGCAGCACUCGUUGAUGGGGAUGACGGGGUUGGGGCAGUCGCUUGU